rnacentral:tRNA from 1 species
GGCUGAGUGAUGGAAUGGCAGACAUGCGGCUCUCAAAAGGCCGUGUCCUAACGGGCGUGUGGGUUCGAGUCCCACCUCAGCCA